GACUUGUGUUGCUAGGUUACUAUCUAGUAAUCCUCUUGCUUAUCUUGGGCUUCUGGUAUUUUCAAUUCCAUUUGGUGAGGGUUGGAGCUACUCUGAUGUGUCUAGUUCUGUAAUAUAUUAAAAGUCUAGCCAAAAAGAGGUGGCUAUUCAUUAUAAGCAGGAGCUAAGUGUUUAAAAAAACACAUGCAAUGAGAGAAAUAGACCAAAUCAUCAGGAAGGACAGUGUCAGAAAACUUUGUCUGACUUAUUUUAAUUCCUUUUUUUAACUAUCUGACUGCAUGCCUAACAGAGCUGAAGAAGAUAAAGAAAAAUGAAAAGACAAGAAAAGAGAAAAGAAGAGAGAGAGCGAGAAAGAAGAAAGAAAAAAAGAAAGAAAGAAAAGAAAGAAGGAAGGAAGGAAAGAAAGAAAAAAGGAAAGAAAGAGAAGAGAGAAGAAAGAGAAAAGAAAAGGAAGAAAAAAAGAAAAGAAACUCUCAAUAAAUGAGAAGGGUCAUUCAUCCAUUGAGGCAGGCAGGAAGUCACUAUAUAUAUUUUAUAGAGGUAAUAAAUGGCAGGGGUAUUGCUUAGGGCAGGAGGAAAAAAGAAUUAAACCCAUAGAAAACUAGACAAAGUGCAAUACUCUAGGAGUUAGACCUCCAAAUUAAAUCCUUACAAUAAUGUUGAGCAAGUGUCUUGAUACGUGUAUAAGCAGAGUCCUGCUAGAACACAGAAGUUCUAAUGCCUCCUGGAGGACAGCAGGGAGACUUCAGAGAGGAGAUAGCCCUUGAGCAGACUUUCACAGCAAUUGCAUAUUUCCUCCACCAAAAUCUCCAUAAGACACUGAACUAAUCCAUUGCAUUGCUGAACAGAAAGUUUAUGAAGGGGAAUAAAAUACAUCUGAGACUGGA